rnacentral:rRNA from 1 species
GAUGAACGCUGGCGGCGUGCCUAAUACAUGCAAGUCGAGCGAACAGACGAGGAGCUUGCUCCUCUGACGUAGCGGCGGACGGGUGAGUAACACGUGGAUAACCUACCUAUAAGACUGGGAUAACUUCGGGAAACCGGAGCUAAUACCGGAUAAUAUAUUUAACCGCAUGGUUCCAUAGUGAAAGACGGUUUUGCUGUCACUUAUAGAUGGAUCCGCGCCGCAUUAGCUAGUUGGUAAGGUAACGGCUUACCAAGGCAACGAUGCGUAGCCGACCUGAGAGGGUGAUCGGCCACACUGGAACUGAGACACGGUCCAGACUCCUACGGGAGGCAGCAGUAGGGAAUCUUCCGCAAUGGGCGAAAGCCUGACGGAGCAACGCCGCGUGAGUGAUGAAGGUCUUCGGAUCGUAAAACUCUGUUAUUAGGGAAGAACAAAUGUGUAAGUAACUAUGCACGUCUUGACGGUACCUAAUCAGAAAGCCACGGCUAACUACGUG